rnacentral:misc_RNA from 1 species
GAUGAAGAACGCAGCGAAAUGCGAUACUUGGUGUGAAUUGCAGAAUCCCGCGAAUCAUCGAGUUUUUGAACGCAAGUUGCGCCCGAAGCCAUUCGGCCGAGGGCACGUCUGCCUGGGUGUCACGCAUCGUUGCCCCCCCAAACUCCGGUUCGGGCGGGGCGGAAGUUGGCCUCCCGUGUGUGCCUGCGCGCGCGGUUAGCCCAAAAGCGAGUCCUCGGCGACGAGCGCCACGACAAUCGGUGGUUUUUUUACCCUCGUUCCUCGUCGUGCGUGUCCCGUCGCCCGAACGCGCUCUUGUGACCCUCACGCGUCGCCUCGGCGGCGCUCCCAACGCGACCCCAGGUCAGGCGGGACUACCCGCUGAGUUUAAGCAUAUCAAUAAGCGGAGG